rnacentral:SRP_RNA from 1 species
GCCAGGUGUGGUGGCGGGCACCUGUAAUCCCAGCUCCUCGGGAGGCUGAGGCAGGAGAAUUGCUUGAACCCGGGAGGUGGAGGCUGCAGUGAGCUGAUAUUGUGCCACUGCACUCCAGCCUGGGCGACAGAGCAAGACCCUGUCUCAA